rnacentral:rRNA from 1 species
UACGAAGGGGGCUAGCGUUGCUCGGAAUCACUGGGCGUAAAGCGCACGUAGGCGGAUCUUUAAGUCAGGGGUGAAAUCCUGGAGCUCAACUCCAGAACUGCCUCUGAUACUGGGGAUCUUGAGUCCGGAAGAGGUAAGUGGAACUGCGAGUGUAGAGGUGAAAUUCGUAGAUAUUCGCAAGAACACCAGUGGCGAAGGCGGCUUACUGGUCCGGUACUGACGCUGAGGUGCGAAAGCGUGGGGGAGCAAACAGGG